rnacentral:rRNA from 1 species
AGCGGCGGACGGGUGAGUAAACACGUGGAUAACCUACCUAUAAGACUGGGAUAACUUCGGGAAACCGGAGCUAAUACCGGAUAAUAUUUUGAACCGCAUGGUUCAAAAGUGAAAGACGGUCUUGCUGUCACUUAUAGAUGGAUCCGCGCUGCAUUAGCUAGUUGGUAAGGUAACGGCUUACCAAGGCAACGAUGCAUAGCCGACCUGAGAGGGUGAUCGGCCACACUGGAACUGAGACACGGUCCAGACUCCUACGGGAGGCAGCAGUAGGGAAUCUUCCGCAAUGGGCGAAAGCCUGACGGAGCAACGCCGCGUGAGUGAUGAAGGUCUUCGGAUCGUAAAACUCUGUUAUUAGGGAAGAACAUAUGUGUAAGUAACUGUGCACAUCUUGACGGUACCUAAUCAGAAAGCCACGGCUAACUACGUGCCAGCAGCCGCGGUAAUACGUAGGUGGCAAGCGUUAUCCGGAAUUAUUGGGCGUAAAGCGCGCGUAGGCGGUUUUUUAAGUCUGAUGUGAAAGCCCACGGCUCAACCGUGGAGGGUCAUUGGAAACUGGAAAACUUGAGUGCAGAAGAGGAAAGUGGAAUUCCAUGUGUAGCGGUGAAAUGCGCAGAGAUAUGGAGGAACACCAGUGGCGAAGGCGACUUUCUGGUCUGUAACUGACGCUGAUGUGCGAAAGCGUGGGGAUCAAACAGGAUUAGAUACCCUGGUAGUCCACGCCGUAAACGAUGAGUGCUAAGUGUUAGGGGGUUUCCGCCCCUUAGUGCUGCAGCUAACGCAUUAAGCACUCCGCCUGGGGAGUACGACCGCAAGGUUGAAACUCAAAGGAAUUGACGGGGACCCGCACAAGCGGUGGAGCAUGUGGUUUAAUUCGAAGCAACGCGAAGAACCUUACCAAAUCUUGACAUCCUUUGACAACUCUAGAGAUAGAGCCUUCCCCUUCGGGGGACAAAGUGACAGGUGGUGCAUGGUUGUCGUCAGCUCGUGUCGUGAGAUGUUGGGUUAAGUCCCGCAACGAGCGCAACCCUUAAGCUUAGUUGCCAUCAUUAAGUUGGGCACUCUAAGUUGACUGCCGGUGACAAACCGGAGGAAGGUGGGGAUGACGUCAAAUCAUCAUGCCCCUUAUGAUUUGGGCUACACACGUGCUACAAUGGACAAUACAAAGGGCAGCGAAACCGCGAGGUCAAGCAAAUCCCAUAAAGUUGUUCUCAGUUCGGAUUGUAGUCUGCAACUCGACUACAUGAAGCUGGAAUCGCUAGUAAUCGUAGAUCAGCAUGGUACGGUGAAUACGUUCCCGGGUCUUGUAC